rnacentral:rRNA from 1 species
UGGAUUUGACAUCCCGAGAAUCUCUAGGAAACUAGAGAGUGCCUCCAUUAGGAGGAGCUUGGUGAC